AUUGAACGCUAGCGGCACGCUUAACACAUGCAAGUCGAACGCGAGCUGUAGCAAUACAGCUUGAGUUGGCGAACGGGUGAGUAAUACGUAGGAACGUACCUUUGAGAGGGGGAUAACUAGCCGAAAGGCUAGCUAAUACCGCAUAACGGUCCUAAGGACCAAAGUCGCAAGACGCUCGAAGAGCGGCCUACGUCGGAUUAGCUUGUUGGUGAGGUAAAAGCUUACCAAGGCGACCAAUCCGUAGCUGGUCUGAGAGGAUGAUCAGCCACACUGGGACUGAGACACGGCCCAGACUCCUACGGGAGGCAGCAGUGGGGAAUCUUCGGACAAUUGGGGGCAACCCUGAUCCAGCGAUGCCGCGUGAGUGAAGAAGGCCUCGGUGUAAGACUCUUUGUUGGUAGAACGAAAUAGACGGUACCGAACACGAAUAAGACACCGGCUAACUACUCGUGCCAGCAGCCGCGGU
rnacentral:rRNA from 1 species